rnacentral:tRNA from 1 species
GUUAUUUUGGCAGAUUAGUGCGUUAGAUUUAGAAUCUUAUUAGGUAAAGUUAUUUACAAAUAAUA